ACGUUGAAACCCUGGUUUUCAUUAUGAUUACUGAAGUUAAGCAACUUAGAGUCUGCUAAGUACCUAGAUGGGUGACCGCUUGGGAAUACAAGUUG